GAUGAACGCUGGCGGCGUGCCUAAUACAUGCAAGUCGAGCGAGCAGACGAGGAGCUUGCUCCUCUGACGUUAGCGGCGGACGGGGUAGUAAAACGGGGAUAACCUACCUAUAAGACUGGGAUAACUUCGGGAAUCCGGAUCUAAUACCGGAGAAUAUAUUGAACCGCAUGGUUCAAUAGUGAAAGACGGUUUUGCUGUCUCUUAUAGAUGGAUCCGCGCCGGAUUAGCUAGUUGGUAAGGUAACGGCUUACCAAGGCAACGAUGGGUAGCCGCCCUGAGAGGGUGAUCGGCCACCCGGGAUGUGAGGCACGGUCCAGACUCCUACGGGAGGCAGCAGUAGGGAAUCUUACGCAAUGGGGGAAAGCCUGACGGUGCACCGCCGCGUGAGUGAUGAAGGUCUUCGGAUCGUAAAACUCUGUUAUUCGGGAAGAACAAAUGUGUAAGUAACUAUGCACGUCUUGACGGUAUCUAAUCAGAAAGCCACGGCUAACUACGUG
rnacentral:rRNA from 1 species